AGGAAGACGCCGAGAAGCGUCAGGGGGAUGAAGAUGAUGUGAGCGAGGGUCAUGGGGCGGCUUUCGCGCGGGCGCGCGGUGUGGUAUCGGUUCAACUAUUGAGGAACGUGGUUUUGAGAAGCCCAAACAGGACUUACAACUUAGAGGCCGACGAACUUCGCGGCGGCGCCGCGCUGCUUGUGUUUUUCUAUCAUUCGAUCAGUUCUGGAGCGCCUUCGGUCGGCGCUGUCACUGGACGACUGACGUCUGAAAAUCCGUUUGCUACGCUAGUCUACGAAGGGCACACAGGCGUCGCUCUGUUCAUGGUUUUGAGCGGCUACAUACUUGCCAGCGGCACUUUUGACCGGGAUAUCAGCUAUCGCGGCUUCCUGAAGAACCGGAUGCUGCGGAUAUUCCCAUUGAUGUUCGUCGUGCUUGUUUUUUCGCUGUACACUGCAAAAUCAGUUGAUCUUGGCAGUGUCGCAGCGCCGUUUUUGCUGUUGGCGA
rnacentral:misc_RNA from 1 species